rnacentral:rRNA from 1 species
UACGUAGGGUGCGAGCGUUGUCCGGAAUUAUUGGGCGUAAAGAGCUUGUAGGCGGUUUGUCGCGUCUGCCGUGAAAAUUCGAGGCUCAACCUCGAACUUGCGGUGGGUACGGGCAGACUAGAGUGUGGUAGGGGGAGACUGGAAUUCCUGGUGUAGCGGUGAAAUGCGCAGAUAUCAGGAGGAACACCGAUGGCGAAGGCAGGUCUCUGGGCCACUACUGACGCUGAGACGCGAAAGCCAGGGGAGCGAACGGG